AGAAUUAUGAUUAAAAUCAGUUGCUGGACAGAUCACCUCACAGUUGUCCAUCCUCCAGCUCAGACUUGGUGCUAUUGUGGAGGAGAGAGGGUCUCGGGUCACACAGACUCAGCUCAAAUCCUGGUGUUGCCACUUCCAGGCGUGAUGUUGCCAGAGGAUACCUAGGUGAGUGCUGGCCUGCCUCAUCCCUCCCCACUCCCAGCAGCAUGGGGUCAGGACUGGGUCACCAAAUUAUAAGCCUGCCUCACUUUCAGGAUCCUGGCACUGAGACCCAGCCAGGCAUGUGGUACAGUCAGCAAGAUGUCAUCAGUGGAAACCACACAUGAUAAAAGAUGACCACACAUCCAGCCAUGGUUUUACAUGGAGUUUUUUUAAAAAGCUUUUUCAUUAAACCAACACAAAUCUUGAAAAAUGGCUUUUUCAGUCCAUCAAGGCUGCUAUAACAAAAUACCACAAGGUAGGUGGCUUAUCAGUAACAGAAACUUACAGUUCUGGAGGCUGGGAAGUGUAAGAUGAAGGCACUGACAGAUUCAGCAGAUCUCAUGUCUAGCAAGGGCCCAGCCAUUGUCUCGUUCGUAGAUAGCAUCUUCUCACUUCACACAGAGGGAGGGAUGCAGCAGCUCUCCAGUCCCUUAUAAGGGCCCUAACCCCAUUUAUGAGGGCAUCAUCCUCUUGACCUAAUCACUUUCCAAAGGUAAUACUUCUUAAUACCAUCCCUUUGUGGGUUUGUGGGAGAAGUUCAAGCUUGGCUUGGCCAGGUGUGCCGCACUCCUGUCUUCUGAGCUAACUCGGAGACCUUGUUAAGGCUGAGCUAAUUCACCUAAGUGCAUAGAUGCUGGGUCCAAUAGACUACAACUCUGCCCCUAGUCCGUGACUCCUCCUCUCCCAAGAAAAAUCACUCCGCUGUGUCUGGCCAAUAAGAUAUCGCCAAACAUUAAACGUUCCUCCCAUGCUCCUCUGCCAUGGUUCCCCAUAUAAGCCUGUGUAUUUCCUGAAAAAAGCGGAAGCGUUCCAGAAACCUCCCCAGAAUCUGCCUGGUUAUUCCACGCCUUUGCCUCCCAGUCCGAGCUCCGGAACCUUAUUCCGCUUGUGGACG
rnacentral:lncRNA from 1 species